rnacentral:rRNA from 1 species
CUUUCCCUACGGGACGCAGCAGUGGGGAAUAUUGGGCAAUGGACGCAAGUCUGACCCAGCAACGCCGCGUGAAGGAAGAAGGCUUUCGGGUUGUAAACUUCUUUUAAGGGGGAAGAGCAGAAGACGGUACCCCUUGAAUAAGCCACGGCUAACUACGUGCCAGCAGCCGCGGUAAUUCGUAGGUGGCAAGCGUUGUCCGGAUUUACUGGGUGUAAAGGGCGUGCAGCCGGAGAGACAAGUCAGAUGUGAAAUCCACGGGCUCAACCCGUGGACUGCAUUUGAAACUGUUUACCUUGAGUGUCGGA